ACGGUCUGCUACUCGUCAUUUUGGCCGAGGGAGAAGCGAGGCUACCCUGAACAAGUGUGGACGCGAACUGUGCAGUACGCAAGUGCCUGGUUAUGGGUAAGGAUAUGGUGUAGUCACUGACAAACUUUGGCGCAACUGUCACGCGGAGUUCUCUAGAGAGGGCACGCCUCGUGUAAGCGCUGUAAACACUUUUGCCAGCGACGUUCCGAGAGUGCCUUGCGAGCAGUCGGAAAGUAGAGGACGGUUCGGAAUUCGUUUAGAGAUGGAAUCGCAAGCAGAUCGUUCACGUUGUCGUUUUACAAAAAGCAUGGAGCUCGCAGAGGUGCCUUUGGCGAUUUUCAUGCCGCGGUGCGGGUGCUACAAUACGCUGCAAACCACCGGCACUCCCCAGAGUCGAGAGCCACGGGCUGGGCCAGUGCGCUACCCGCGGAAGAAUCUAAGUCCGUCUUGGGCAGGGUCAUCGGGCAAGUGCUCGCAUAAUGCUGGCACGCUCGAGCGUUGAGGCCAGAUGCAGCAGCAGCAGCAGCACGCGCUAGGAGCGCACUCACGGUCAAAGCACCGCGACGCUGAGGCGCUCAUUUCUGGACAGGUCCGAGUUCCAACCCGGGACCUUGCUGAGAGUCUUCCUCGCUUAUGGCGGGGCGUUGCAUGUCCGAGCAGCAACCCGUAACGAGCUAUAGCAACGCAAACACCAGCGCAGGCUCAGGCACUUCAAGCGCUUUCAGUGAAAAGAACGCAUCAGCGCGACCUCUAGCACCAUCUACCACCCAACUGAUGCGGGCGUGGGUGGUCUGUUCCCCCGCUCCCGUCUACGAAGCGCUACCAUUGCCGAUAUGGCCGCCACAAGCGACAGCAAUGCAGAGAAGAAAACGAUCGCAUCAACGGCAGACAGCGCCCAAUAGUAUCCCUGGGUUCCACAUUCGCAAUACAUUUCCGAGAGCGAGAAUGAGCCGAUACUCGAAGGCGAGCCGUCGCAUCGUGCCUGUGCACUGCUUCGACUGCAGAUUCGGUACGCUUCUACUGUGGAAUGAAAAUCGAGCCCGGCGGAAGCCGCUGCAGCACCUGUUAUGCCCAACUGAGUCAGCCAGAAGAAAGCAUGCCCGUGCCGAAAGUGAUAAAAAAGAACGAUCCAUAGCAGUGCAGCCAGCACAAUCAUGCAUCCAGUGACUAGACGGAUGAUGUUAUUCACCAGCGGAUAUCCACCAUUGAUGGCCGCUAUCAAAAAAGGUCGGUGCGUUAACGGUUCGAAGUAGCUGAGCGUGUAGAUCUUGGAUGCAUCCAAGUAAUAAUACCGAGUUGCGGGAAACGAGCUGCCGCUUGUAAGAUACCAGCAAGACCACACAAUCAGAAAGCAUCCGAAAAGAACUUGGGCAAGCAGAAAUCCAGACAAGAGCCGUUCUCGUUGGAUUUUAUGCGUGUAACUGCGUUCAGCGACGGUGCGAGACUUGUGCCCGAGGGCGCUCGAGUCGCGCUUCGUUGCCAGCGAAUACUCGUCGGACUCGAUCUGCCGGUUCCCGUUACCUUGCGACUUGUGACCCAUUUUACUCAAAAAUAGCGCUCGAUUCGUCUGAGCAGCGUAGAACAGCCGCAGAACUGAGCCCAGGAACCUGAACUUUAACCGAGUGUACAACCUGGUUUGCGAUACCCCAGCUCGGUUCUGCGAACGCCAGUAAAACGGUUUCAGCGAGA
rnacentral:misc_RNA from 1 species